rnacentral:rRNA from 1 species
GUGCCAGCAGCCGCGGUAAUACGUAGGGUGCAAGCGUUAAUCGGAAUUACUGGGCGUAAAGCGUGCGCAGGCGGUUUUGUAAGUCUGUCGUGAAAGCCCCGGGCUCAACCUGGGAAUUGCGAUGGAGACUGCAAGGCUUGAAUCUGGCAGAGGGGGGUAGAAUUCCACGUGUAGCAGUGAAAUGCGUAGAGAUGUGGAGGAACACCGAUGGCGAAGGCAGCCCCCUGGGUCAAGAUUGACGCUCAUGCACGAAAGCGUGGGGAGCAAACAG